UCGUUAGCCGUGGUAGGCAGUUCACCUAGGAGAGCAAACUCCAAACAACAAACCCGGGCAGGUGGAGCUCGUUAGCCGUGGUAGGCAGUUCACCUAGGAGAGCAAACUCUAAACAAACCCGGGCAGGUGGAGCUCGUUAGCCGUGGUAGGCAGUUCACCUAGGAGAGCAAACUCCGAACAACAAACCCGGGCAGGUGGAGCUCGUUAGCCGUGGUAGGCAGUUCACCUAGGAGAGCAAACUCUAAACAAACCCGGGCAGGUGGAGCUCGUUAGCCGUGGUAGGCAGUUCACCUAGGAGAGCAAACUCCAAACAACAAACCCGGGCAGGUGAGGCUCGUUAGCCGUGGUAGGCAGUUCACCUAGGAGAGCAAACUCCAAACAACAAACCCGGGCAGGUGGAGCUCGUUAGCCGUGGUAGGCAGUUCGCCUAGGAGAGAGACAACUCCGAACAACAAACCCGGGCAGGUGGAGCUCGUUAGCCGUGGUAGGCAGUUCGCCUAGGAGAGCAAACUCCGAACAACAAACCCGGGCUUGUGGUGCCCGUUAGAUGUCGUAGACAAUCCACGUGAUGGGAACACCAGAGAAAAUGAAAAUGAAAAAGAACACCAGAAAAAGGAGAAUAUAGAAAUGAAACAUCGAGAAAAGAAAAAGCAAACACACAUCAUCCACUUUUCGGCCCACACUAACAUCGACAAAAUUAUGGGUGAGUCUCUUCUGGGGAGAAAAAGGCUCAUCCAGACCAAAGAACAUCAACAAGGGAUGACAUAGAAAAGAACAUCAAGAAAGAAUGAGAAAGAGAAAAAUAAAAGAAAAAUAUCGAAAAAGAAAAGUAACAGCAGUAAAAGAACAACAUCAAGAAAAGAAAAGUACAAAGAAACAUCAUCCACCUUUCGGCCCUAACUAACAUCACCAAA